rnacentral:lncRNA from 1 species
GCAACACCCCUACUGUCUCCCCGAAGGAGGACAUCUUCUCCCUCUUCCCGGAGAUCCACGGCCACGCCGACUGGUCUCCCCUUCUCAACCCCCUCCACCCCUGGCUCCGUCGCGAGAUCAUCAAGUACGGCGAGUUCGCGCAGGCGACCUAUGACGCCUUCGACUUCAACCCCCUCUCCGAGUUCUGCGGCAGCUGCCUCUACGGCCGCCACCGGCUCCUCGACAAGCUCGGCCUCGCCAGGAACGGCUACCGCGUGUCCAAGUACGUCUACGCCAUGUCCCACGUCAAACUCCCACGCUGGCUCGAGCGCUCCCUCCACGCCGACGCCUGGUCCACGGAGUCGAACUGGAUGGGCUACGUGGCCGUCAGCGACGACGCGGAGUCCCGCCGCAUCGGCUGCCGCGACAUCGUCGUCGCCUGGCGCGGCACCAUCGCGCCCACCGAGUGGUUCAAGGACGUGCAGGGCAAGCUGGAGCCGCUCGGGGACGCCCGCGCCGACGUCAUGGUCGAGCAUGGCUUCCUCGGCGUGUACACCUCCAAGAGCGACCGGACGCGCUACAACAAGACGAGCGCGUCGGAGCAGGUGAUGGAGGAGAUCGAGAGGCUAGUAAGCCACUACAGGCAAAGAGGCGAGGAGGUCAGCCUGACCAUCACCGGCCACAGCCUGGGCGGCGCGCUGGCUCUGCUCAACGCCCACGAGGCGGCGUCGACCAUCCCGGACCUUCCGAUCAGCGUGAUAUCCUUCGGCGGGCCGCGCGUCGGCAACGUCGCCUUCGGAGAGAAGCUGAAGGAGAUGAACGUGAAGGUUCUGCGGGUGGUGGUGAAGCAAGACAUGGUGCCGAAGGUGCCCGGCAUCCUGUUCAACGAGGGGCUGAAGAGGUUCGAGCACGUUACCGGAACCCUGGAGUCGGUGUACACGCACGUCGGCCUCGAGCUCGGCCUCGACGUCAGCUCGUCGCCCUACCUGAAGCACGGCCUCGACGUCGCCGGAUUCCACAAACUGGAGACCUACCUGCACCUUGUGGACGGGUUCCUCAGCUCCGACAAGGAGUUCCGGCGGAACGCGAGGAGGGACGUGGCGCUGGUGAACAAGACCAGUGGAAUGCUGCGAGAUGAGCUGCACAUACCACCACGCUGGGCUCAGGCGGCCAACAAGGGCAUGGUGCGCAAUGCUUACGGCAGAUGGGUCAAGCCAGCAAGAGAGCCAGAAGACAUCCCUUCGCCUUAUAGAGAAGAAGCACAGCUUUAGAUUGCCGUGAAUCCAUAUUGGAUUCUGCACAUCAUGCGUGUAGUUGUACAAUUAGAUUAAAUUGGAUGGAACGGUGCUUCUUGAAAUCUCAUCUCGAUCACAUCAGAUCAAGUGAGAACUCGGAUUUCCUGUCAAGAGUACACACGAAGUCUAUAUGAGUGCUUGCAAUUCCUUGGGAAGGAAUCCGGGAAGAAAUUGUGUUUGACUUGGAUGGUCAUGGAUAUUCCAUGUAAUAGUAUUAACAAGAAAGUCUUCUUGUCAGUAUUGUUCGUUCAAGCUAAAAGAUUAAGAUAAAAUAUUUUGAUAAUUAAUUUCUGUUUGUCAUUGGAACACUACGAGAUUGAUAAAGUGAAAAAAAAUUUAUAUAUCUCGCAUGAAUAAUAGUUCACACGAGGUCGUUUGGAUUCACCUUAUCAAUUUUUGUGAAUCUUAAUUUAUUAUCACGAAAAAAAAUUAUAAAUGAAGUAUUUGAUGUAAUACUCGUAAUACUCCACACAAUGUUGUUUGGAUUGACCUGUUUGGAUUGACCUUAUCAAUUUCUGUAAAUCAUAAUUCAUUAUCAUGAAAAAAAGUUAUAAACGAAGCGUUUGAUGUAAUACUCAUUAUGUGUGUAUCUUUAUGUUUAGUUCAUAUUUUGUACAGUAUGUGAAGAGUUGACAGUAGGUUUAGACCCUAUUUUGUUUGGUUUGUGAUGUACCACUUUGGCCUUUUGUCAUAAUUUAGAGAUUGCAAAGUCCAUGUUUGUAAUUUGUUUUGUCUAUCAAGUGUUUGCUAAAAUGAUUGUUUAUAGAUCCCGAGUUAAAUAUUUUCUCUAACUCGUCUUCUCAUUUGUAGGUCCUUAAGGGACCCUAAGAGAUUUUGAGGAGGCUGAUCCUUUAUGGAUGGACAUGCAAGAGUAUCACACAACUUAGGCAAAAUCAACUAAGUCCAUGAUAUAUAUUAUCAGAGCAAGACAAGCACACUUGACUUGCAAAUGUAGGGGACCUAAUGGGGCUACGAGAUUGGCAUUUAGAGGAAUGGUUAACCCUUCACAUGAGAGGCACCACGAGGACAAGCAAGCUGGGAAGAACUUAUAACGUACAAAGGUUAAGAUGGCUGAGUUUAAGUUAUGACCCAACGUUGGCAACCAAACUUGAUGGUGCUCAAGGCAAGCGAAGUGCUUGACAAAUGAUGAAACCAUGUAAAGUGGGAUAGGUUGCUCAGUGAUUGAAAGAGUUGUAUAAAGCUCACAAAAAUGAAGGGAAUUUCUAACUUGAAGAAUUUGGUACUCAUGCAAAGGCUUGUACGUAGACGAUGGAUUGUCUGUGACUAUCAUAAGGCGACCGAAACUUGACGCCAUAGAGCAUUGAAACUUUUUUUUCGGUAUGGAAAAGAUACAUAUGUAGGAGGCUAAAGGGUACAGAAAGUUCAGCAUGUUGUUAGGCCUUGAGAAGUGUUAUGGGGGCUAUAAAGGCGAAGAGUUACAAUCUAGCAAGUGCAUUCACGAGGGCAAAAUAAUAUAUAGUUUGUUCAAUAAGACAUAUUAGUCAAAGGGGAUGGUGGUCUCUGAAAUUUUCAAAGGGAAGAAUACAUAGAAGAAAGUUGCUCCAAUAGGAUAGAUAUCCAAGAGGGAUAAAUCUCAGUUCUCUAGAGGUAGAAUCAUGUGUAACAAAUUACACAUGUUGAUGAGGGAUACUUCAAGACAACGACUUCACAAAGCUCAAUGGACCGAGCGAGCGACAAGGAGUUGUUACAUGAUCUUGUAUGAAGUAAUACGUUAGUGGAUAUAUUACAAGAUCAAGUGAAGGAAGCAACCCAAGGUAAUACCAAACGAAGACACACUUGGAGCCAAUGUGGAAAUCAGACUCAAUUGAGGGUUAACCCAUAGAAUGGUGGGUGAGAGAGCCACCAUCAACUUUAUGCAAACUGAGGGGCAAAACAACAUGGGUAAAACUUAGUAAAGUAUCCAAUCCGCAUGAAGGGAGUCAAAUAAAAGACAGAACAUGAAAUAAAGGCAUGAAGCUUUUCUUGGAUAUUGGUCAAGGACAUGAACUCUUACAGAGACAAGAGCCGAAUCAUGUCAUUCUAUGGGUCCCUCGUUCUGAUGAAGCAAACUCAUCUUGCAUAGUACUAUAGACAAAGGGAGCUUUGAGGUACAUACACCUUAUCUUGAAGAAGCAUUUGAUGGAAGAACUAAGGUGACUCAACUUACAGAGGCGAAGUUGAGGACAAAAGACCUUGGCAUAAGAUAAAAGGACAUGGAAAUUGGUACUUUUGAAAAAUAUGUCAUAGUAUUACCAUUCGAGUUGCUGCGAAGGAAACGAUAUACAACAAAGAUUAUGUUGGGGGGUACAAAAGACCUAUGAUAUAUACAAUGGCACAUCAAUUUCAGUGAAGUCAAUGGACUUUAAAAGCUACUAUGUGAUGAACUAUCCUAGAGUUGCACUUCGUUUGAGUGUGGCCUGAGAGAGGGUGGAUGAAUGUCGAUUACAAAAUAAGCAAAUAUAAUUGGAGGUAGUAGAGGCCCUACGAUGUGUUGGUAGAGGCCACACCUAGAGAUAUUAUUGUUUGAGCCCAUCCCAUGAAGAUCUGAAUAUAAUAGAGAUAUCAUCAAGAGGUGACAUGGUGUAGUGGAUCAUGGUGAAAUAGUUCAAGGUAAUAUGAUACACACAGGACAGGUUCCGCGAAAGAUAUAGUCAUAUGGAGGUAUGAUUGAGAGAUACAAAGAGCUUCACUUUAGUAAAUAACAUGACAACAAGAAGGGCUAUGGAUUCAAGAAAUGAAUAUCAUGAUACUAGAGAAGUGAGUCUUCUGUGCAUGCAUUGAAUGUUGUAUUGGAUAAAAGUCUUGAUUAUCAGCAUAUAGAGAUUAUGUACCACUAAGGGGGAACCUUAAGUAUAAGUACCAAUGAGACCGAUGGGUGAGAAUUGAUCAUACAAAGAUAUGAUUGGAGCAAUUAAAGAGUUGAACUACUUUAGAGCUCAUAUUUACUUAAGAAAGCUUAAUAAGUCAGAAGACAAUGCCGAGUAAGCAAACAUUACUACCAAGGAAGCUAAGCAGAAUAGAAUCGACACGAGCCAUAUAAUAUGAUGGCAAAGGCCAUAUAUAGGAGUUAUAGUUUAUCUUUCCAUCGACCAAGAAGAAUUACUUGGAGAACAUAAAAGUGUUGAAGUAGGUUGUCAAAAAUGGUGAGGAAGUGACAACGAGUCCAGAGAGACUCAACUACCCAAAACUAAAUAUCAAUUCGAAUGGAGGUGAACUCGAAGGAGUGCUACAGCCAUAGAGGUGGAACUACUAAUCGUAAAAAAAGUGACGAUGCCUCCUUAUUGGAAGAAUGGUAUAUGUCCUCCAUGCCCAAAGGUACUAUGUGUAUGUGACGAUGCCUCCUCAUUGGAGCACUCGUUAAGGGGGUUUACGUGUGGAUGUUCUUACGAUAUUUGGACCCUUCCUCUAGUGCCAAAAUGUUAUUGUCUUGAUGUCAUCGACCGUCAAUCGGCUUUGUUUGGUUCUAUCCCAAAGGCACAAUGUUGUCCGAGUAGCCCACGUGAUAAUUGAGUGAGAUAGUUGGAGUCGGGGAAGGCUAGGCUAAAGUAAUCCCGAGUUGGCAAUUAAGUAUCCGAGGUUGCUCCCUAAUCGGAUCGAGAUAGGCCCCGACCUCUUUGAGGUUCUAGGAGUGACUCAAGGUAUGUCUUGGCUUUAUCGGAGAUCCUACACAAGAUGUUAACGUCGAGGAGAUUUCCUAAUUCGACUCCUCCAAUGGUAAAAUUAGUCGUGUGGGAUUAAAACUACAGUUGAUUUGAGAUCGGUCCAUAUUCAAACCUAGGGGGACUAAUAAAUGACGAGAACUAACGUAUAUCCUUUUGUGACGUAUUCACGUGGACAAUUGAUCCAUAUAUUUAUUCUUGUGUGAUGUAUUCAUAUGGACGAUUAAUCCGUAUGAUACUUCGUGGUGCGUCAUUAGUGACGAAUGAUUACGUAGCUAUCAACGACAACCAAGCGAUUGUCUUCUAUGCGACUCGACCAUAGGAGGGGGUGCAGGUUCAGUCUCCGGGGAACUAUUGCCACUAGCGGUCAACCCAUCCUGCCUUCCCCCGAGUCAUGGUCUUCUGGGGCGACAGGUUGCCGCCCUGUCGUUUGCCGCAAGGGGUGACAAGUUGCCACCCCGCCAUUUGCUGCUGGGGAACGAUGAUUCGGGCUUUGCUCUGCUCAUAUAUGACGCCAAAUAUUUCUUAUCAGUGGGGUUGCUGACUUUGAUUGCAGGAUAAAGCAGCAUCCAAAAUCCCACGUAUUGUUGUGUUGACUCAAACUCUCCGGUCAAUCGGAGAACGGUGUGAAAACACCCACCCUGCACAUCCAUGCGAUGUAGAGACUUUGACACAUUCCUGUGAGACUAAAUGUUGAGAGUUCUUAUCUUGUGUUUAUAAUAUUAAUUUUCUUAUGGUUGGGCUGACCUUUUAAACUGUCUCUAAAUUUGAAUUUCUUGUGGUCGUGUUUAUAUUUGUUUACCGCAUGCUUUUCCAAAUUUGACUUAGUCCUUUAUUAUUAGUAUUAGUAUUGUUCUUGUUUUUGUUGCUAUAAUGGAACAGGUUCAUAUUUGUUCUCAUUCGAACAGUUCCAAGACCUGAUGGAUGAUGAUCUUUAUUCUAAUGGUUAUUGAAUUAGGAAAAAUGAAUGAAAUUACAUUAUUUGUGGUGUUUUACAUGAUAAGCUACAAAAAUACUGAGUCAUGAGACCGUGUUGACUUUUUCCAAGUCAAGCUGUUGACUAGAAUAAUUUGGUGAACUCGGCCAUCGACCUAUUUAAGUCACCUUCCUGUCCCUCUCCUCAGACAAACUCGGUAGCUCUCAUUCUCUCUUGUAGUGCACAACAAGCUGCGUUCAUGGCCUUGUCCUCUUCCUCGGCCAUCCGCCACCAAUCUUUCUCCCUCUUUGCCACUACUCACUCCUCGCUCGUGCCCCCCGCCUCUCACCGCACCGCUGCCGCCAUCGUCGAAGCGGCGCCGCUCCGAGAACGACGCGCUAGCUCUUUGAUCAACAUCCCGGCCACUCUCUCUAGCCUCCUCCACCUUCACCUCGAAAGGAAGCCCGACGACCGCAGCGUCGGCCUCCCACCCCCCGCCGUCGGCCGCAACAACCCUACUGUCUCCCCGAAGGAGGACAUCUCCUCCCUCUUCCCGGAGAUCCACGGCUACGCCGACUGGUCUCCCCUUCUCAACCCCCUCCACCCCUGGCUCCGUCGCGAGAUCAUCAAGUACGGCGAGUUCGCGCAGGCGACCUAUGACGCCUUCGACUUCAACCCCCUCUCCGAGUUCUGCGGCAGCUGCCUCUACGGCCGCCACCGGCUCCUCGACAAGCUCGGCCUCGCCAGGAACGGCUACCGCGUGUCCAAGAACGUCUACGCCAUGUCCCACGUCGAACUCCCCC